rnacentral:rRNA from 1 species
AAAGUUACUUCGGUACAUCGGUGACAGGUGGUGCAUGGUUGUCGUCAGCUCGUGUCGUGAGAUGUUGGGUUAAGUCCCGCAACGAGCGCAACCCCUAUUGUUAGUUGCCAUCAUUCAGUUGGGCACUCUAGCGAGACUGCCGGUAAUAAACCGGAGGAAGGUGGGGAUGACGUCAAAUCAUCAUGCCCCUUAUGACCUGGGCUACACACGUGCUACAAUGGUUGGUACAACGAGUUGCGAGUCGGUGACGGCGAGCUAAUCUCUUAAGGCCAAUCUCAGUUCGGAUUGUAGGCUGCAACUCGCCUACAUGAAGUCGGAAUCGCUAGUAAUCGCGGAUCAGCACGCCGCGGUGAAUACGUUCCCGGGCCUU